UCCGGUUUGUCACCGGCAGUCUCGCAUGAGUCCCCAACUAAAUGCUGGCAACAUGCGACGGGGGUUGCGCUCGUUGCGGGACUUAACCCAACAUCUCACGACACGAGCUGACGACAGCCAUGCACCACCUGUGAUCCUGCCCCUAAGGGAGAGUGUGUUUCCACACCUGUCAGGAACAUGUCAAGCCCAGGUAAGGUUCUUCGCGUUUCGUCGAAUUAAACCACAUGCUCCACCGCUUGUGCGGGCCCCCGUCAAUUCAUUUGAGUUUUAACCUUGCGGCCGUACUCCCCAGGCGGUCUACUUAGUGCGUUAGCUGCGCCACUAAGAGCUCAAGGCUCCCAACGGCUAGUAGACAUCGUUUACGGCGUGGACUAC
rnacentral:misc_RNA from 1 species